rnacentral:rRNA from 1 species
GUGGGGAAUUUUGGACAAUGGGCGAAAGCCUGAUCCAGCCAUGCCGCGUGUGUGAAGAAGGUCUUCGGAUUGUAAAGCACUUUAAGUUGGGAGGAAGGGCAGUAAGUUAAUACCUUGCUGUUUUGACGUUACCGACAGAAUAAGCACCGGCUAACUUCGUGCCAGCAGCCGCGGUAAUACGAAGGGUGCAAGCGUUAAUCGGAAUUACUGGGCGUAAAGCGCGCGUAGGUGGUUUUGUAAGUUGGAGGUGAAAUCCCCGGGCUCAACCUGGGAACUGCCUCCAAAACUGCAUGACUAGAGUACGGUAGAGGGUAGUGGAAUUUCCUGUGUAGCGGUGAAAUGCGUAGAUAUAGGAAGGAACACCAGUGGCGAAGGCGACUACCUGGACUGAUACUGACACUGAGGUGCGAAAGCGUGGGGAGCAAACAGGAUUAGAAACCCGAGUAGUCC